rnacentral:rRNA from 1 species
UACGUAGGUUCCAAGCGUUAUCCGGAGUGACUGGGCGUAAAGAGUUGCGUAGGCGGACUGUAAAGCGGGUAGUGAAACCUGGUGGCUCAACCAUCAAACCAUUAUCCGAACUCACAGUCUCGAGAGUAGUAGAGGUACCUGGAAUUCCAAGUGUAGGGGUGAAAUCCGUAGAUAUUUGGAGGAACACCAAUGGCGUAGGCAGGGUACUAGGCUAUUUCUGACGCUGAGGCACGAAAGCGUGGGGAGCGAACCGG